UCCAACAGCUCCCUGUCUUUUUUGUACUGGGGGCUCCAGACCUGGACACAGUACUCCAGAUGGGGCCUCACAAGAACAUAGUAGAGGGGGACAAUCACCUCCCUGUCCCUGCUGGCCACCCCUCUUCUGAUGGAGCCCAGGAUACCAUUUACUUUCCAAGCUGCAAGGGCACACUGCUGGCUCAUGUUAAGUUUUUCAUCUAUCAAGAACCCCAGGUCCUUCUCUGCAGGGCUGCUCUCAAGGACCGCUCCUUCCAGUCUGUAUGGAUGCCUAGGAUUCCUCUGACCCAAGUGCAAAACUUUGCACUUUGCCAGACAAAGGUCUGUUGCAUCUUGAGAGCUACCUGGAAUUUUCCCCUGCAGCAUUGUGCAGCGUUAGCAAGAACAGUACUGUCCCCCUGGAGUUAAUAUGUAAGUUUGUAAUACAGGGUCCAUGUUUAUUUCUAGAUAUCUUCUGUUGUCUGUCCUGUGCUUCAUGCCAACAUUUCAUAUUACUGCUGAAAAAGAGAUUUCAUUUCACCCAUGCUGAUGUUUGUUUAGCAGUAUUAAGUAUUAUACUGAGCUUUUUGUUGCUCAAUUCUUCCAGUAUUGCUCCAAGUAAACUUCCAACAAAGCUGUCCUAGUAUUACAGAAAGGAACAUAUAAAUUGCAUUUUAAGAUGUAUGCAUUUGCACAAACAUUAAGAGAACAUGCACAUUUUUAUGUAAACUACAGCUAGCAACGGGUAUUACUAUGUGGGGGACUGUGUGUUAGUGGUGUUCAGUUUAGGAGACAUAAGGACAAUUAUUUGAAAUUUAAUUGAUGUGGAACAGAGGACACGCCUCUUUACACUACAUGGUAUCAUAGAAAUAUUUAAAGUGAACGGCUAGAUACAAAGCAGGUAACUUCAUUAGGGAUACCUACUUAAGCAACUCAUGUCUGCAUGUGGACAGGCUUCAUUUUGUGCUAUCAGCUAUUUUAUGCUGAAUACAACAUGAUCAGUAGGGAUGAAGAGAUGCCAUGAAUAUCAGUAGUUCCUUUGGACGUUCUGAACCAUGAAGCUUAGAAUAAAACCUUCAUUGGGACUAAUAUUACUAGUAAAAACUACAUAUAUCUAGACCAUAAUGUGCUAAAAUUACGUUUUUUGAGUAACAAAUUGGAUACAUCAUUGUAAGAACAACUGCUGGAGCACUUCUAGGACAUAAGUCCUUAGCAAAGUGAUUUUUCAAACCUCCUAAUUCCCUCAGCUUUAUUUAUUUUUUCAUUUGUUGGUUUUAAUUUGUUGUUCAAGACCAGAAGUUUUUUGUGUGAAUGAACAUUGAGCUAUAAGCCAAAUCUCAAGAUGUCCGUGUGCCAAAACUACAUCUACUGUCAAUAACCACAGCUGUUUUGGACUAGGUUUUCUUCCUUGCUUUUGUCUUUUAACCUCCAUAAUAAUAAUACAAAGGCGAGCAGCCAACUCGCGUUUAUUUUUCUUCUUUCUCAAAAAGAAGAAUAGCUUUUUGCCAAAGUGUAUAUAGUAUCACUUCAACCUAUCAGCAUGUUGUGGUGUGGUUAUUUCAGAGGAAGAGGAUCUGUGGAUGUUGGUUGACAGCCGGCUGAACAUGAGCCAGCAAUGUGCCCAGGUGGCCAAGAAGGCCAAAAGCAUCGUGCUUGUGUCAAAAAUAGUGUAGUCAGCAGGAGCAGGGAGGUGAUCAUCCCUCAGCACUGGGCCCUGGUGAGGCUGCACCUCGAGUACUGCAUUCAGUUUUGUGCCCCUCACUACAAGAAAAAUAUUGAGGCCCUGGAGCGUGUCCAGAGAAGGAGCUGUGAAGGAUCUGGAGAAUAAGUCUUACGAGGAGUGGCUGUGGGAGCUGGGGUUGUUCAGUCUGGAGAAGAGGAGGCUCGGGGAGACCCUGUGACUCUUUACAGCUCUCAGAAAGGAGGUUGUUGCAAGGUGGAGGUCAGCCUCUUUUUCCAGGGUGCUAGGGCAAUGCUCUAUGGAAAGCAGCUCAUCACAUAACACGCCAGGAGCUUCUCCAAAAAAGCCAGGGUGUAUGAGAUCAAACUGCCGCACCUCGAGUACUGAGUCCAGUUUUGGGCCCCUCACUGCAAGAAAGAUAUUGAGGCCCUGGAACGUGUUCAAAGGAGGACAACAAAGCUGGUGAGGGGUCUGGAACACAGGGCUUAUGAGGAGAGGCUGAAGGAGCUGGGAAUGUUCAGCCUGGAGAAGAGGAGGCUCAGGGGAGACCUUAUUGCUCUCUAUAACUUCCUGAAGGGAGGUUGCAGUGAGCUGGGGGUUGGCCUCUUCUCUCGUGUCAUUAGUGAUAGGACCAGGGGAAAUGGUUUCAAGCUACGGCAGGGGAGAUUCAGGCUGGACAUGAGGAAGUAUUACUUUCCAGAAAGGGUGGUCAGGCACUGGAAUGGACUGCCCAGGGAGGUGGUGGAGUCACCGAGCCUGGGGGUGUUCAAGGAAAGACUGGAUGUCGUGUUGAGGGACAUGGUUUAGUGGGAGCUACUGGGAAUAGGUGAACGGUUGGACUGGAUGAUCUUGAAGGUCUUUUCCAACCUUGGUGAUUCUAUGAUUCUAUUCUACAAUGCUAUGCACCAAGGAGGUGCAGCAACCUUGUCUUUUUGGUACAUAUGUUGAAGAAAUACAGCAAUUUGGGGUUUGCAGUUCCCAGAAAGACAUGAAUAAAAAUGCUGCAACACACACAGAAGUUACAACAGUUUCAUCCCAUUAAAGCUGUGAGCAUUAGAGACAUCCAAUGACACGAAUUCACCAAUUCUAUAACUAAUGAAAAUGGCAUGAUUUGAGUUUUUUAGUAUCUCAUUUGAAUAAUCAUCUCAUCUGGAGAUGUAUAACUUCUGUGCUCCUCCCAUGUUCCUCCUCCUCUCACAAAUAUUAAAACCAGAGGUAUUUGAGAUGAAGUGAUAAAAAUGAGGAGGGUUGGUGUUAGGCUGACCGCAUUCAGCUUCUUUAAAAAGUUGUUGUUCUUUAGCACUUACAGAAAAUCGACCAAAGCAGUUGUAUUCACAAGAAUAGAAAAGCUGCUACUGAAACUGGCUGGAGAGAGACAUGAGGAAAAUGUAGCUUUGUGGCAACUGCAGUAGUUCUGAGUGGGGGUUAAACAUUUGGAAAGUCUUAACAAAACUAGAGAAAAAAAAAUUAACCUCUGCCAGAAAGAAAAGCAUUUCAGUAACUCAGAAAUGUCAAUUCAGUGCACUAUCAAAAAAGUUAUCAAAGUUGAAGACAAUAUUCAUUUUUUAAUUGGAGUGCAUUAAGAAUGAGAUGCUUUCUUUCACCUUUUUUCCCCUUAUAUGAUUUAAUGUCAGACAUUCUGAUCACCAUUUAAACCCCCCUGGAGGGGAAAAAUACAUAAGAAGUAGGAGAUGAGUGCGUACAGACCGUGUUUAGGAGUGCUGGAAUGCACAGCACAGUGGGCUGAAUUAGGAGACCCAUGUAUGAACCAGGAAGAAAAGGGUGCAUACUUAAAAUCAAUGCAGAAGGGGAGGUAGAGGCAAAAACCAGAUGUACAGUCUGAAGCUAUGCAUACUAUGUACUUGCACGUGUUGUCAGGGUUACCAAGACUCUAAAACCAGUACUAACUUUGUCCAGUUCUUGCAUCAGUUAUAACUGCAAAGCAGUAUCUCUGCUUCCUGAUUUUAACAAUAAUACAUCUUUCAGUAGUUAUAAACAAAACUGAAAGCACCUCCAUGCUGAUGCUUACACCACACAGUAGGUUUAGGCACAUGAGCUGUCCCACGGAACUUUUUAAAGAAUCUCUCCCACACAAGACAGUCCUUGAAAGCAUUCACUGAAUGCAAACCUUGGGUUUUCCUGCUAUUGACUUUUGAUAUUAGAGGCCACUAACUGAAAGAGAUUUGAAUACUGAAGUAGAGGUCACAAAUGAAAGGGAUAACAAAGGAUGAUUAUUUUUCUAAAGAUUUUCUGCAGCUCUAUGCUAGCAACAAAAACAAAUGUCUGAAGUUACUCAAACUCGCACUCUCAGAAAAGGAAAUGUGUUUGUUGGGCAUUACUUUCCUGAUUAGAUCCUGUUAGAUCUAUUGUAAGCCAUUGCCUCAAAGCCCAGUGAAUGGCAAACACACCGUUGGGUUAUGCACUCACGUGGGAACUGGGAGACAAGAAAAAAUACCUUAACUAUUUUGUCCUUCCUCAUAAACAAGUCUUGAUGAUUAUUAUGGUAUCUAAAAGAAUGUUUUAUUUGGGGGUUCUGAAAUAUAAAAUGCUAUUAUGUAACUGAUUGAAAUUUCACGCCUUCCCAAAAUGUUCUCUUGUUUAAUCCACUAUGAUUCAUGCCUGACUUUUGUGAGCAGCUUCUCCCCAUAACAAAAAAAAAACAAACAACAAACCAACAGGUUACCAGCAUGAUGAAUCUAACACUAGGCUUCUCCAAAGGCUACAAGUGCUUUUACUGCUGCUGCAGUCAUACAAGGCUCAAACUAGCAGGGAGAGGAGGUAGAAACUCAGUUUUAUAAAAAUGGAGGAAAACAAUUUGUUCUACUCUGCAAGAUUAGGAGCAACUCUUUGAUCAGAGCAGAGGUUGCUAUCAUAAAAGAAACUGAACAAAUAGCCUCCGAUAGGCCAUGCUGUUUGUGCCAGGAAGAGCAGCGCUUUGUAAUUAUUCAACCUUAUCCAGGGCUCAAUAAUACAAUACUGACUGAUAAAAUUACACGGUUGCCUCCAUUAGCAAGAAACUAGGCUUGAGCCAUCAAGCUUACCAUUUUAAAUGAUUACUUUGGAAUAAUAUAUGAACUAAAAUGCAGGUUUGUAACAGAACCAAACUGAGCACUGCUGCAGCCCUGUUUGACUGAGACCAGCUCAGCAGAGGACGCAUCCCUCAGUGCCACUUCCUGACCUCACACUGCAGUGCUGAGAGGCAGGGAGGGCAGCUCCCUGCUAACAGCUCAGAUCUUGGUGCACUUGGACCAUCUGCCAGGUGCUCAGACAGCCAAAGAGAUUUAAGAUGUGCUUUUCUUGUGUAAAAUCUUCUGUUAAAGAAAUCAGUUGCUUCUUAGAUCGAACUAUAAAGACCCAGUCAGGUCUCUUAAAAAUAAGCACUGCGUUUUUCACACAUACAACAGUAACGUCAGGAGAUAGGACUGAGUUUACUUGUAUUAGCCUACAAUUCUUUCUGUUGUGACUACGACAAAACAGAAUCCUUAACUUGUGCCUGUGUUCCACGACACAACAGUAAAAAUCCACAGGUUCCACACGAGAGGACAGAACUGUUAUUCUGACAGAUCUGCCAGUGUGUUUUGUUUUUGUGAUUUUUGUACAGUCACAGCAGGAGGUAGGAGUGAGGUGGGUACAUCAGUCUGCUUCUUUCUCCUGGAUCAUCCCCAAACUGCCAUCUACAGAGCUAUUUAUAAACCUGCGUUAACUCUGGGUCUCACAUCUGAAAAUUAGGAGUGACAUCUGGAGCAGGGUGACUUGCAGAUAAUGCCGUAACUUCAUAGUGCUGCGGAAUGCAUGCAUGCAGUCUUGUUAUUAAGAGCAUAGAUAUUGGUGGGCUGUGGCCUGGGGGAAGCUCUGCAGGUGUGCUUUUAUGCUAAACAUCAGUUAUUUGAGAAUUCUGUAGAACAAAUGCUCAUUUCAGAAGUGCUGCAGACACAGCUGGCUCUAACUUUAUCCAAAUAAGACAAAGGACAGCACUUAAGAUGAAGGAAAUGAAAUACAAGCUCCUGUAAAGCGUUGGCCUCUUCUCCCAGAUAACAGGGAGGGGACAAAAGGGAACGGCCUUAAGUUGUGCCAGAGGAAGUUCAGGCUGGGCGUUAGGAAAAUAGAACUAAGCCCAAAACUUCGCUGGUUUACCAGCCAUUGUCAGUGCACACACUCACGUGCUCCUGUGGUUAAAAAACACUUUCCUUGCUGAUUUCCAUCAAGUCUUAAAAAAUAUUGAGUAGCAGAUCCCCAUUGUUUUAAGGACCGGUGGCCUGCAUUCGGGGGCCACAAGACUUUUGUUAAUGCUGGGAUUAACCUGCACCACGCAGCGGAAGCUACCAUGUUUUCCAGAGGAAACAAGAAAACAGAGUACUCGAAUUCACGUCCCACGUGCACGUCGGGGACGGGUAGGGGCCUGGCAGCACGGCGCGGUGGUACAGCCGAAAGCACACGGCCCUAAGCGCACGGUAAAAGCGGCACCGCGGCGUUGCCUGUUUUGUUAGUGACGCUGCGGGCUUCGCUGCACGGCAGAACCGGAGAGGCCGCCUCGGAACGCACAGCGUCCAGCUCGCGCGUACCGCGCGCUGCAGCUCGCUCGUCGUUUGAAGUACGCGUGGGGAAACUACCGAGGGCAAAAGGCGACGGGAACGCGAGCGGGACCGCCGGGCCGCCUCGCGCACCAACGGUAGCCGCCAACGGAAGGAUCGAGGAGCGAGACCGCCGCGCCGGCGGGAGGGCGGGGCGAGCGCGGCCGCGAGUCGAGGCGAAAGGGCGGAAACGGCCGGCCGGCGCCGGUGAUGACGUUUGAAGCUCUUCCGGAGCCGGGGCGGUGAGCGCGGCGCGCACGGAAGGGGUCGCGGC